rnacentral:misc_RNA from 1 species
UCCAGGAGUUGCAUUUUUGCCCAUUGUGACCUUACGCUUCUUACCUUUCUGUUCCUUAUCAGCAAGCAAAACAUCAGUAGUAGCAUGUGGUGAUUCCAAGAACUCCAAUAAUUUUACAGUGAGUUCUUCCUUUUUCACAACAGCCUUAUUUAUUGGAACAUUGAGCACAUCACAAAAAUCAAAAAUCAACCAACUUUUCUUUAAAACACCUGUCAAGCUUCUCCCUUACUUUUGCUUUCUG